UACGGGGGGGGCAAGCGUUGUUCGGAAUUACUGGGCGUAAAGGGCUCGUAGGCGGCCAACUAAGUCAGACGUGAAAUCCCCAGGCUCAACCUGAGAACUGCGUCUGAUACUGGAUGGCUUGAAUCCGGGAGAGGGAUGCAGAAUUCCAGGUGUAGCGGUGAAAUGCGUAGAUAUCUGGAGGAAUACCGGUGGCGAAGGCGGCAUCCUGGACCGGCAUUGACGCUGAGGAGCGAAAGCCAGGGGAGCAAACGGG
rnacentral:rRNA from 1 species